GCCCCGAGGUGUUUAAACAUAUUAGAUUGCAAAUCUAAAGAAGCAGACUAAUACCUGCCGGGGCUU
rnacentral:tRNA from 1 species